UACGUAGGGUGCAAGCGUUAAUCGGAAUUACUGGGCGUAAAGCGUGCGCAGGCGGUUUGGUAAGACAGAUGUGAAAUCCCCGGGCUUAACCUGGGAACUGCAUUUGUGACUGCCCGGCUAGAGUGUGUCAGAGGGGGGUAGAAUUCCACGUGUAGCAGUGAAAUGCGUAGAUAUGCGGAGGAACACCGAUGGCGAAGGCAGCCCCCUGGGCUGACACUGACGCUCAGGCACGAAAGCGUGGGGAGCAAACAGG
rnacentral:rRNA from 1 species